UUAUCAAUGGGCGCAGGGAUCUCCCCCAUCCCCCAGAUCCAGGUAUCUGGUUGUUUAAAGCCCCAGGGUACCCUCAGCAAGUGGCUUCAAGGGGGCCUCGCUGAGCCUUCCCCACCCACCCAUGUCCAGCUCGUUGGGUGAAGCAGGCGAGCGCGAAAAGGCGAAAGGUUACCCAGACUGCAGUUCGAAGACCUGAGGCUGCGGGGAGUAGUGGUGGGGUGGGAGGUGAGAGCCUGGGGACCAUCCGUGGAGAAGGGGAGCUCGCCACUUUGGGGAAAGGGAGGAGGAAGAGAGCGCAGAGAUGUGUGGGGGGGCCCAAGAUGAAAAGCAGAAGGGAGGGGAGGAGGAAAGCGAGCGGGCGCAAUCCCACCCUUCGAGAAGGUCGUCAACCCCGAAGAAAGCAGACGCAGGGUUCCUGACCCCUGCCGGGCACGCCCGGGCGCGGAGCGAGGGACCCCUGCGCAGCGCGCCUUGCCACUUGAGGCCCCCGCCCAGAGGAGCCGGCGGGGCGGCUGCGUGAACAGGUGACUUUAUUCACUGCUUCCCGAAUCGUCGAGGUCCCGGGACUCGUUUUCCGCCUGGAGAUUAAGAUCAUUGCUCGCGUAAUGAACUUAAUGCUUUAGGGUAGAGCUCCGCCUUGGGAGAGGACGUUUACAGACACGUUGGCGGGCAGAUUGGGCCAAAAAGUGACACCCCCCCACACCCCGCUCCCCGCCAUCUCCCAUAAGUGUCCUCAAUAACCUCCAAGCUGGCUCUGAAAUUUACAAGAGGAAAAGCUAAAAUCGCAUUAAGGGGGACUGGGGGAGUCCAGGCAAGGGGAGAAAGGAUCUGA